UACGGAGGGUGCAAGCGUCAUCCGGAUUCACUGGGUUUAAAGGGUGCGUAGGAGGGCAGGUAAGUCAGUGGUGAAAUCUCCGAGCUUAACUCGGAAACUGCCGUUGAUACUAUCUGUCUUGAAUCCCGUGGAGAUGAGCGGAAUAUGUCAUGUAGCGGUGAAAUGCUUAGAUAUGACAUAGAACACCAAUUGCGAAGGCAGCUCGUUACACGAAGAUUGACUCUGAGGCACGAAAGCGUGGGGAUCAAACAGG
rnacentral:rRNA from 1 species